UACGGGGGGGGGCAAGCGUUGUUCGGAAUUACUGGGCGUAAAGGGCUCGUAGGUGGCCAACUAAGUCAGACGUGAAAUCCCUCGGCUUAACCGGGGGAACUGCGUCUGAUACUGGAUGGCUUGAGUUUGGGAGAGGGACGCGGAAUUCCAGGUGUAGCGGUGAAAUGCGUAGAUAUCAGGAGGAACACCGAUGGCGAAGGCAGGUCUCUGGGCCACUACUGACGCUGAGGAGCGAAAGCGUGGGGAGCGAACAGG
rnacentral:rRNA from 1 species